GCACGAAUUAUCCACGUUCGACGAGGACUUUCGACUUCUCACUGCCCCUCAUAACUUAUUCACAUGUACAAAGAAUAAUUCUAAUCUUUUUUUUCUUUUCAGAGGUGUCAUUCAAAAGGUGUAGAGAAAUCUUAAAUCUCUUUAGCGCGGCAUUGUGCAAACUUAUGUUAUGCGUUCUCGAUCGGUGGGAAAGCUUCAAAGAAUUUUUUUGUCAUAACAUAUGGAAAAGAUAAUGUUAUAAAAUAAUUAAAUAUGAGGAUUUUUACUUGCGACUGAAACCAAUUAUAAUUUGAAGCAAUAGGUGCCGUGUUUGCUGACAGUGCACAUAUAUUUCCAAACGCAUUUGCCCAUGCCCAAAAUCAUUCGGAUCAGAAGAGUCCAUUUGUUAAGAAUAUGCCGUGUUAAAGUUGUUGUUGUGGACGGUAAAAGUUGAAUUUCUAAGCAAUAAAUAGAGAAAACGAUGAGGUUAUUACGGACGGCCUUGUGUGAUUAAGCCAUGUCGCAAGAAUAUGUUCUCAAGUGGUACAAAGACUUUAAAAAAGGCCGCGAACGAGUACAGGACGAACACCAACCAGAACGACCAUCAACAUCGACCGCUAACGAAAUCAAAGAUUUGAUGCGUGAAUGUCGUGAAUUGACAAUUGAUGACCUUUCAUUUGGAUCAACCCGAACCAUUUUUAAAGAUCUUUUCUGCCUUAAAAGCUGUGAAAUCUCGAUUGUUUAAAUUUUUGCAGUUCACCAAAAACUCAAACCACGUCAUUCCACAACUACCGUAUUUCCUUGAUAUCUGGCUGCUCAAGAGACUUAAAAAAUCGAUUCAUGGAAACCCGAACAAAAGACCGAAUAUAAGUCAGACAUUCAAAGCUAUUCCGAAGAAAAAUUAUGACUUUUUCGGUAUCAGAUCGGAAAAAACAUUGGUAUAAGUACGUUGUGUGCGUAUGUACGACAACGAGCACUUUGAAGCCGAUAAAAGUGAGAUUUACCUCAGUCGGUUUUCUAAAGGUCACAAAGGAUUGAUAAAUUUAAUUAAACGUGUAUGUUGGGCGAAUUGUGUUCGUGUGCUAAUAUUUUUGCAAGUACAUUGAUUAUCAGUAUUUCAUAUUAUUACGAAAUUCGUUGUUCUCGUAUACGGUUCGUAUCACCGGAUCGAGGAUAUUCUUUUUAAGAGAAACACACU